rnacentral:rRNA from 1 species
CAAUAGCGUAUAUUAAAGUUGUUGCAGUUAAAAAGCUCGUAGUUGGAUUUCUGGUAGGAGUGACCGUUCCGAACUUGAUUGUUCGUGUAUUGUGUUUUCUCCAGCCAUCCUUGUGGAGAACUUUUCUUGCAUUAAUUUGUAGGGAUUGGGACCCGCAUCGUUUACUGUGAAAAAAUUAGAGUGUUUAAAGCAGGCAAUCGCUUGAAUACAUUAGCAUGGAAUAAUAAGAUAGGACUUUGGUAAUAUUUUGUUAGUUUGCAUACCAAAUUAAUGAUCAACAGGAACAGUUUGAGGAUAUUCGUAUGAACAUGUCAGAGGUGAAAUUCUUGGAUUUUGAUCAGACGAACUACUGCGAAAGCAUUUAUCAAGGAUGUUUUCAUUAA